UUUUGUUAUUUUUAUCGAUUUAUCAGUUACUACGAACAUUCAUGCUCUGCAAGUAUGGACGACUGGAACAACGGGAGAGCUCACCCCGGCUGUGAAGAUUGAUGGACGUGAAGUUGGCGAUGGACAAGUGGGACCUGUGACUCGAAGGUUGCAAAAUGCUUACAAAAAGCUUACAGAAGAGUCAGGAGUGCCCAUACCAUCCUGUCAGGAGAAUUAAAUAAUAUAUAUAGCUUCUACAAGACUGUAGACAUUGUGCAAGGGGGGUUGCUUUCAUUCCCACAGAAAGAAGAUUGUGCAGUUGCGUUUCGAUCGCCAGCAUCACAGUUAAAGCACUGCAGAUUUCAGAUGCUUGUGGAGAUGAUACCAUAAUCUUGGCAUUUCUCUGCAUGUUAACACAGAAGCUAAAAUUGUUAAUGUGUUUAGCAACACAGGACUUUUAAGUAAUUCCCUACAUCUUAAACUUCAGUAGGGAUGUGUCUACUUAGCCAAUAAAAUAAAUCUCAGACUGUUAAAUAGUUUGAACGUGAUUGUAGCAUUUACUUCAAGCAAUGCUAUAAUAUAUAUUUGUGCGUUGGUUCA